rnacentral:rRNA from 1 species
AUUGAACGCUGGCGGCAUGCCUUACACAUGCGAGUCGAACGGCAGCACGGGGGCAACCCUGGUGGCGAGUGGCGAACGGGUGAGUAAUGCAUCGGAACGUGCCCAGUAGUGGGGGAUAACUAGUCGAAAGAUUAGCUAAUACCGCAUACGACCUAUGGGUGAAAGCGGGGAUUCGCAAGAACCUCGCGCUAUCGGAGCGGCCGAUGUCUGAUUAGCUAGUUGGCGGGGUAAGGGCCCACCAAGGCUUCGAUCAGUAGCUGGUCUGAGAGGACGACCAGCCACACUGGGACUGAGACACGGCCCAGACUCCUACGGGAGGCAGCAGUGGGGAAUUUUGGACAAUGGGCGCAAGCCUGAUCCAGCCAUGCCGCGUGCGGGAAGAAGGCCU